rnacentral:rRNA from 1 species
GAUGAACGCUGGCGGCGUGCUUAACACAUGCAAGUCGAACGAUGAAGCCCAGCUUGCUGGGUGGAUUAGUGGCGAACGGGUGAGUAACACGUGAGUAACCUGCCCUUAACUCUGGGAUAAGCCUGGGAAACUGGGUCUAAUACCGGAUAGGAGCGUCCACCGCAUGGUGGGUGUUGGAAAGAUUUAUCGGUUUUGGAUGGACUCGCGGCCUAUCAGCUUGUUGGUGAGGUAAUGGCUCACCAAGGCGACGACGGGUAGCCGGCCUGAGAGGGUGACCGGCCACACUGGGAAUGAGACACGCCCCAGACUCCUACGGGAGGCAGCAGUGCGGGAUAUUGCACAAUGGGCGGAAGCCUGAUGCAGCAACGCCGCGUGAGGGAUGACGGCCUUCGGGUUGUAAACCUCUUUCAGUAGGGAAGAAGCUAAAGUGACGGUACCUGCAGAAUAAGCACCGGCUAGCUACGUG